rnacentral:lncRNA from 1 species
UAUAAUGGAAUCUUGAAUUCAUAUAAACCCUUCACAACAAAUUAUAUGUAACUUGGUUAUAAUAAUAUUAUAACAAACUUCAUAUUACCAUGUUGGAAUGAAACUGAAGCACCAACCAUGAGCAAUUUCUUGCGACUAGAGAACAUUUAACAUGAUGCCGCCUUUCACCAAGAAUGCAACAUCUAUUACUGGUUUUGCGGGUGUCUCUCGUUGAGAGUGAAGGGAGAAAGAAAGAGACUAGAAUAGAAUUUAAGGUCGGACGCGGGCACUUUUCAAGCAACAUGGAUAUACUAGGCUGGAGAAAGUGAUGCCAAUCGCAUGAAAGCAAAUUCUCCAGAAUACUGCAUGAAAGCAAAUUGAUAUAGGCCAUUUGUUUGCCAUGAAAAGGACGACGGCGAGAGAGCCAUGCAUGGAUCUCGUCCUUAAUUACAUUUUUUAAUCCUGGAUAGACUACAUUAGGGAGGUAAGCUAGAGCUACAAAUGGUUGGGCAAUCCUGGUGUAGUCUUGACGAACAAUUUAUAGUUGAUUAAAAAGGUGAUUCUAACUGCUGGCCACUGGAUCGGUGGAGAAGUGGGCGUGCAUGUGGAAAUUGUCCAUGUGUUGUCACAUAUCCCAAAACGCAUCCACUUCACGCAAUAGAUACCGUUUCUUCCAAGUGCAUCAGAAGGGAAAAUGGCAAGAGUGCCGUCGGAUUGAGCACGGUCACAAACCUGCAAAACCUGCAGGAUUCAGAACCAAGAACAUCGAAAUUGUUCAAAUUGGCCACCGCGGUAUACAAACGGCAAAAACAAGAGGCAAAGACACGCGAAAACAAAUUGAAAUGACUACAUCACGCAUUUUAAUCAGGGCGGUAAUUAAAGCGCGUGCCCACGCUACUAUGCGAGUAGUAUUUGUAGCAUGUUUAGUAGAGUGGCAUUCGUGUGUGUUGUGUGGCGUGGAAUGUAUGUCCUCUUGUACUUAGAAAGCACUCCUUGCCGCAAACCUAUGGCAAGCAGGCCAUGUUACCCCAGAUUCUUGCCGAUUAUGCCAUUCUAUAGCGCGCACAUGCAUGCUUUCCACAGAGGCAUGCAUUGGGGUUAUGUGGGAUACAGGAGGCGCAGAAUUGGCUACGGACGCAUGGAUACCACACACGCGCGCGCACGGCUGACAGCUAGCCACGGACAGGGACGAAACACGGCUAAAAAGGGACGACAUCAGUAUUCACUUACUCCGACCACGUAAAAUAAAGCAUCUUCUACACAUACAGAUAGAUUAUUCUUUCUACCAAAAGAACAGAUAUGCAGAAAGAUAAAGAUGUAUCUGCACGCACAUGUUUGAGAGAAGUUUCACCGGGGUUCCGCGUCGCAUCGUCGUUAAAGUUUCGUCAUAUGAAUUGAGGGCAACUUUCAAGCGUUUCAUCCAUGGUCCGUCCGAAUUCAACGGGGAAUCAAGCGAGAGAGCGGGCAAGGGGAAGUGGCCGGGUAGCUACCCCAGGCCCAGGGCAGCUGCCAACUAUUUGCGACAUGAACAUACUCAUUCGUAGGAGGUUUGUACAGUAGCUUAGCGGCCUAUAGCGCGAGUGCGCGUCGAGUUGGUUGGCACACACGCGCGCCCGCGCACGGUGGCGUGGUCCCUUUUUCCCUUUGGCCCCAUAGCAGCCUCGCUAGCUGCAUCGUUCGCUCCAUCCAGCCUCGAUGGGUAGCCACUGACUGUGUCUACAUGGGAGCAAUGGAUGGGUGGAUUGGAUUGGGUUGGACGGUACCCCUACCCCUACCGACGACGGCCCAGUGUCCUACGACUCUCUCUCUCUCUCCUCGCUAUUCUUUUCUCUCUCUUCUAGAGACUAGAGAGGAGACGAGGGGAGAGGAAAUGAGACGAAAGGUACGCAUGCAGCAGUGUUGGCUUCGACGGGCCCGCCGGGCGUACUAUGGGAUGCCGUCCGUCCUGUUCUGAUCUCUUCUUUUAGCCCUCUUGAAUCCCGGCUGUACCGAUCAUUCGUUCAUCAUCGCCAGGACGGCAGGACCCAUGCAUCACAAAUUUAACGCCUCUCCCCCUCUCUCUCUCCUCUUUCUCUCUCAUGCAUAAUGCUGAUCGUAACAAUAGUAUUAUCAUAAACCCAAUUGAAACGGAUGAAUUGAAAAGUGGGCGAGCAAGUCACCUUGGGCCUGUGCCUGUGUGGUGCUGUAGGAAGGGAGGGGGUGGACCUAUGUCCUGUUGGGGACCCCGGAAAAGAUGCCUCCCGCUCAUUCGUCAAACUCGCCCUACCCCCGUGAUCUUCUAAUGCCAGCCUUGCUAAUCGCCACGCCGCUGCCGUCCCUUAUCUUCCACCCCUUCUAGAUAAUGCAUGCACCUGUAAGAUACAGACGGAAGGAUCAGAAUUACGCCGUAAUUUCGCAAUUGUCAUGGCAGAGGUCAUAUCAUAGAGUUGCAUCCUUACCAUGACAGCAUGGUCGCCUGGAG